UGGCCAAAGUUGCAAAAAUAAGAGUUUGAAUACCACUUGUAAAUAGUCCAAGGAGCAUAACAGGUAUAGGGACUAACGGAGGUAUAGAGAUUCCC